rnacentral:hammerhead_ribozyme from 1 species
GUCCGGCUGACGAGUCCCAAAUAGGACGAAACACGCGUCGCGGAU